UACAGAGGGUGCGAGCGUUGUCCGGAAUCACUGGGCGUAAAGGGCGCGUAGGCGGCCUGAUAAGUCGGGGGUGAAAUCCUGUGGCUCAACCACAGGGCUGCCUCCGGGACUGUCGGGCUCGAGCACAGUAGAGGCAGGUGGAAUUCCCGGUGUAGCGGUGGAAUGCGUAGAGAUCGGGAAGAACAUCGGUGGCGAAGGCGGCCUGCUGGGCUGUUGCUGACGCUGAGGCGCGACAGCGUGGGGAGCAAAC
rnacentral:rRNA from 1 species